rnacentral:rRNA from 1 species
GACGAACGCUGGCGGCGUGCCUAACACAUGCAAGUCGAACGGGGUAUUUCUUCGGAGAUACUUAGUGGCGGACGGGUGAGUAACGCGUGAGAAACCUGCCUUUCAGUGGGGGACAACAGUUGGAAACGACUGCUAAUACCGCAUAAUGUCAUUUGGGGGCAUCCCUGAAUGACCAAAGAUUUAUUGCUGAAAGAUGGUCUCGCGUCUGAUUAGCUAGUUGGUGAGGUAACGGCUCACCAAGUCAACGAUCAGUAGCCGGUCUGAGAGGAUGAACGGCCACAUUGGGACUGAGAUACGGCCCAGACUCCUACGGGAGGCAGCAGUGGGGAAUAUUGGGCAAUGGGGGAAACCCUGACCCAGCAACGCCGCGUGAAGGAAGAAGGCCUCGGUUGUAAACUUCUUUAGUCAGGGACGAAGAACGUGACGGUACCUGCAGAAAAAGCAACGGCUAACUAACGUG